rnacentral:rRNA from 1 species
GACGAACGCUGGCGGCGUGCUUAACACAUGCAAGUCGAACGGUGAAAGAAGAGCUUGCUCUUCUGGACCAGUGGCGAACGGGGGAGUAACACGUGAGUAACCUCCCCCAGACUCUGGGAGAAGCCCUGGAGAAGCCGUAUAUUACCGGAGACGAGACAGAGCUGCAUGUCUACCGUCUGGAAAGUUCUUCGGUCUUGGAUGGACUCGCGGCCUACCAGCUUGUUUGGCAAGUAACGGUGCACCAAGGCAACGAAGGGUAGCCGGCCUGAGAGGGCGACCGGGCACACUGGGACUGAGAGACGGACCAGUAUCCUAUGGUCGGCAGCAGUCGGGAAUCUUACACAAUGGGGGCACGCCUGAUGCAGCGACGCUGCGUGAGGAAUGAUGGCCUUCGGGUUGUAAACCUCUGUCAGCAGAGAAGAAGCGAACUUGACGGUACCUGAAGAAGAAGCACCGGCUAACUACGUG